GAACUGAAACAUCUAAGUACCCCGAGGAAAAGAAAUCAACCGAGAUUCCCCCAGUAGCGGCGAGCGAACGGGGAGGAGCCCAGAGCCUGAAUCAGUGUGUGUGUUAGUGGAAGCGUCUGGAAAGGCGCGCGAUACAGGGUGACAGCCCCGUACACAAAAAUGCACAUGCUGUGAGCUCGAUGAGUAGGGCGGGACACGUGGUA
rnacentral:rRNA from 1 species